AGAGAGAGAGAGAGACACACACUGGAGAGCAGGGGGUGCGCUUCAACACAAACACAUUUCUCCCCUCUGAGUAGGGAUGGAGAGGUGUUUUUGCCCUCUGAGUAGGGAUGGAGAGGUGUUUUUGCCCUCUGAGUAGGGAUGGAGAGGUGUUUUUGCCCUAGGGAUGGAGAGGUGUUUUUGCCCUCUGUGGGUAGGGAUGGAGAGGUGUUUUUGCCCUCUGUGGGUAGGGAUGGAGAGGUGUUUUUGCCCUCUGUGGGUAGGGAUGGAGAGGUGUUUUUGCCCUCUGUGGGUAGGGAUGGAGAGGUG